UAAAGAUUUUAAGGGCGUACGGUGGAUGCCUUGGCGAUAUCAGCCGAAGAAGGACGCGGUAAGCUGCGAUAAGCUACGGAGAGGUGCAAGCAACCUUUGACCCGUAGAUUUCCGAAUGGGGGAACCCGGCAGUGGUUAUGCACUGUCACCCAUACCUUUGAGUAUGAGGAGGGCACCUGGGGAACUGAAACAUCUAAUUACCCAGAGGAAGAGUAAUCAAACGAGAUUUUCUUAGUAGCGGCGAGCGAACGGGAAAGAGGCCAAACCGGAGCGGGCAACCGCACCGGGGUUGAGGACAGUCAUCAAGUGUAAAUGAGGUAGAAGAAUCGAGUUGGAAAGCUCAGCCGCAGAAGGUGAAAGCCCUGUAAUCGAAACCUUGCAUACAUGGGACUGUAUCCAGAGUACCACGAGACACGUGAAACCUUGUGGGAAGCAGGGGGGACCACCCUCCAAGCCAAAAUACUGAUAUCGACCGAUAGCGCAUAGUACCGUGAGGGAAAGGUGAAAAGAACCCCUGGCGGGGAGUGAAAGAGAACCUGAAACCGUAUGUCUACAAACAGUCGAAGUCUGUAUAUAUAUCAGGACGACGGCGUGCCUAUUGAAGAAUGAACCGACGAGUUACUGUUGCUAGCGAGGUUAAGUGGAAAACAUGGAGCCGCAGCGAAAGCGAGUCUGAACAGGGCGUUCAGUUAGUGAUAGUAGACCCGAAACCGUAGUGAUCUAUCCAUGGCCAGGUUGAAGCACAGGUAAAAUUGUGUGGAGGACCGAACUCGUGAGCGUUGAAAAGCUUUGGGAUGAGUUGUGGAUAGGGGUGAAAUGCCAAUCGAACACGGAGAUAGCUGGUUCUCCCCGAAAUAGCUUUAGGGCUAGCCUCAAGCUUAGAGAAACGGAGGUAGAGCACUGAAUGUCCUAGGGGGUAUUGCACUUACCGAAGACUAUCAAACUCCGAAUGCCGUUUUCUUUUACUUGGGAGUCAGACUGUGGGUGAUAAGAUUCAUAGUCAAAAGGGCAACAGCCCAGAUCGUCAGCUAAGGUCCCUAAAUGUACGUUAAGUGGUAAAGGAUGUGGGAUUGCACAGACAACCAGGAUGUUGGCUUAGAAGCAGCCACUCAUUUAAAGAGUGCGUAAUAGCUCACUGGUCGAGUGAUCCUGCGCCGAAAAUUUCCGGGGCUAAAACGUACUACCGAAGCUACGGCAUCAUUUAUGAUGGGUAGGGGAGCUUCGUAUGCAGGCUGAAGCAUGACCGUAAGGACAUGUGGACAGUAUACGAGUGAGAAUGUUGGCAUGAGUAGCGAGACGUGGGUGAGAAUCCCACGGGCCGUAAACCCAAGGUUUCCAGGGGAAGGUUCGUCCGCCCUGGGUUAGUCGGGACCUAAGCCGAGGCCGAAAGGCGUAGGUGAUGGACAACAGGUUGAUAUUCCUGUACCACCAAUAACCGUUUGAGAAAUGGGAUGACACAGUAGGAUAAGCUAACCGCACUGUUGGUUAUGUGCGGGCAAGUAUUGAGGCAGUUCCGAUAGGCAAAUCCGUCGGAAUAAUGCUGGGGUACGAUGCGGAGCGAAAUUUAGUAGCGAAGUAGCUGAUUUCACACUGUCGAGAAAAGUCUCUAUCGAGGUUAAAGGUGCCUGUACCGCAAACCGACACAGGUGGGUGAGGAGAGUAUCCUAAGGCCAGCGAGAGAACUGUUGUUAAGGAACUCGGCAAAAUGACCCCGUAACUUCGGGAGAAGGGGUGCCUUCGAAAGAAGGCCGCAGAGAAUAGGCCCAAGCGACUGUUUACCAAAAACAUAGGUUUCUGCUAAGUCGCAAGACGAUGUAUAGGAGCUGACGCCUGCCCGGUGCUGGAAGGUUAAGGGGAUCUGUUAGAGCAAUCGAAGCAGUGAACUUAAGCCCCAGUAAACGGCGGCCGUAACUAUAACGGUCCUAAGGUAGCGAAAUUCCUUGUCGGGUAAGUUCCGACCCGCACGAAAGGCGUAACGAUUUGGGCACUGUCUCAACAACAGACUCGGUGAAAUUGUAAUACCGGUGAAGAUGCCGGUUACCUGCGACAGGACGGAAAGACCCCAUGGAGCUUUACUGUAGCUUGACAUUGAGUCUCGGUGCUACAUGUACAGGAUAGGUGGGAGACUAUGAAGCAUGGACGUCAGUCUGUGUGGAGUCAUCCUUGGGAUACCACCCUUGUAGUACUGGGAUUCUAACCAGAGGCCAUGAAUCUGGUCUUGGGACACUGUCAGGUGGACAGUUUGACUGGGGCGGUCGCCUCCCAAAAAGUAACGGAGGCGCUCAAAGGUUCUCUCAGUACGGUCGGAAAUCGUACGAAGAGUGUAAAGGCAAAAGAGAGCUUGAUUGCAAGACAUACAGGUCGAGCAAGGACGAAAGUCGGACUUAGUGAUCCGGUGGUUCCGCAUGGAAGGGCCAUCGCUCAACGGAUAAAAGCUACCCUGGGGAUAACAGGCUUAUCUCCCCCAAGAGUCCACAUCGACGGGGAGGUUUGGCACCUCGAUGUCG
rnacentral:rRNA from 1 species